GAGUUUUUUUAGGUUUUGAUUUUUAUUACAUCUUUGUACAAAAAAUCGAAACCUAAAGAAAAUG
rnacentral:pre_miRNA from 1 species